GGGCUGCUGGCGCAACGGUAGCGCGUUCGACUCCAGAAUAAAAGCUUUAGUUAAGCCUUAACUAAGCUAUUACUGAGUAAAUCGAAAGGUUAUCCGUUCAAAUCGGGUGCGGCUCA